CUAAGCAUUAAGACAAUUAGAUAGUUUAAACCAGUAAUUAAUAAUUCAAAACUUGCAUGCAUAAUAUCAUAAGCAAAUUGAAAAAAACCUACAUAUUCUUGCUAAGACUCAUGCCUUCACCCUAGCAAAUGGAAAUUAAGUACGAACUAUCAUAAACAAAAUAUUAUUAAAAACAUGGAUAGAAAACAUCUUGAAAAUAAACUUAAAUCUUCCAAAUUAAUGCGUCCCUAAAUUUUAUGUGUUCUUCGCCUCUCCAAAAACCCUAAUAGCUAAAAAACCUUAUUUAUAUUACUAAAAAAUAAAGCCUUAAAAGGUCUUAGAAUAAAACUAGGAAAUAUAAUAAAAUAAUAAAAUAGAAAAUAAAAGGUUUCCUAUCUGAACAAAAAUUCGUUCUCAGAAAAUGAGACUUUUGAGAGAUCAAAUCAACUCUGAUUUGGUCCCAAAAUGUCUCUUUUGAAAGCUGAAGACGUCCCCUACAAAUCAUGAGAAGGAAUUUUCCUCAAAAUAUGUCAUAUUGACCUCCAAAUUACCCAAAAUGUCUAGAAAUGUCAAUCUAGAAAAGCUGAGCGCUGGGGCAUAAUUUCAUUGCCACGGUCAAACCCAGCACCCUUUUGGCAUUAUGAUUUGGGGUCUUUAGCCAUCUGGGUCGACCCGAACAAUGGCAAAGAUGGAUCUUUUGCUCCCUCUGCUCCACUUUGCCCCUCCCAUCUCCUUCUUCCUUGCUUCUCAUAACCUGAAAACCCAUAAAACCUAGAAGACCAAACCCAGAAAACAUAAAACGCGUUGAUCGCAAACCUUCCAUAUCUUUCACCUUCAAGCAAAUUGCACAUACACCCCACCGCAACUCCUUAAUUUUAACUCUAUUUUUAGCUCUGUGGUUUGAUUUUGAAGAUAUAUAGUAGAAGGAGUUGGACGGGAAAGGAAAAUGGAAGAUAUGGAGAAAAAGGAGGAGAGAUCAUGCGAGCAAAGAAAAGGGGAGAGACAGAGAAUUCUAGAAAAUAAAAAAGAAUACCAAAAAAAAAAUUAUUAUCUUGCUUUUUAGUCCGAAACUACGUCAAAUACUUUACUAAGUUAGUCUAUUCUAAAUCAACCCAAAUUAAUCGCUGAAGUUAAUCAAAUUCGAAAUAGUACGGUGCAACAAAUGCACCGAUAAGGUCUUAGGUUUUGGGCAACUAUGGCUUAUAAGAAUUAACCCAAAUAAAGUCAGACAUGAGUUGAAACUAAUAUUAUAAGUUUAAAUAAAUGGCUAAAAUGUAAUUUUGGUUUCAGAGCAUUAGGGUUAGGUAGGGAUGGGCAAAAUAUCCAUGGUUACCCGUCCAUUUAAACUUCAUAGUUACGGUUAUGGGUAACCGUUUAGAUAAAUAAAUGGUUAUAGGGAUAACCGUUUACCUGUGAAAUUUAAAUGGGUGGUUAUGGGUAUUAACCGCGAUUAUAAAUGGGUAACCGUUUACCCAUUUAUUUUAUAUAUGUAAAAUUAACACAAAUCAUGUUCUCUAUCGGACAAAACUUAGAUCACUGCUAUUGACUAUAGUGUGGUUUAUAUAGCGGUGUUUUAAUUAAUUAAAAAAUAAUAAACAAUAAUCCAUGGAGUAUUUUUAUCCUUAAAUUGAAUAAAUCAAAAGAAAUUUAAGUGAGAAAAAUAAACAGGAGCGCGCUGAAAUCAUUUCCAUUGCAGUAUGCAUGCAUUAGAUUUAGUUAAGAUGUUAGUCAACUUACCAGUGGAAUUGCAGGGUAGAGCCUCUGUGUCUUAGUCAAAGCUGCUAAGAGAUAUUGCAUUUUAUUAAGGGCAUCUUCAUUAAGACUGUCUGUAAGUUCAACAAUGCUUGAAUCAUCUUUCAGAUUUGGUGCUUCUCGAACUUCCGUUGCAACCUUUCUUGCAUAUGAGGGCGCUUGCAGAGCAUAUAAAUAACCCACGAGGUUAAGGAAUAUAGACGCUCCGAUGCGUGCGUGUAGCUGUGAUCAUCAAUUGCGGCAACCAUACUUAAUCAUGCCGGUCGCCAUUUGCAGAAUCAUGCCGUCGCCAUGAAAACACCCCGCAGUAGCAGUACAAUAACCCAGCCGUCCUCAGCAGCAGCAGCACCACCGGCCUCAGCCUCGGCCUCUGAUGAUCAUAUUCAUCACUCUAAAGGACAAAAAAAUAAUCUCAACGCUAGCGGCAAACAGGCUAUCAACCAAAAAUAUUGAUGAUCUGCCUGACUCUCUUUUGGUUGAAAUCCUUUGUGGACUUCCUUGUUUAAUUCUGUUUCUCAAUGCAAGCUCGUUUCCAAGCGUUGGUGCACGCUCAUGUCAGAUCAUCACUCUAUCUCCCGUUUUCUAUGCGUCCAGAGGAAUCGUAAGAAUAAACCGAUAGGUACCUCCAUAAGCAUGAAUGGGGGGGGGGAAUUCUUUUAUAGAAUUUCACCAUCCUCUACUUCGCUAGCUCAGUUGUUCAAAAGGCUUGUGAGUAUCCACAGUUUGAAACAAGAGCCAGUCGUGGUAGGUACCUACAACGACUCCAGUUGUGGUAGGUACCUACAACGACUUAGUUUUGUGCUGCGCAAGCAUGUGUAGUCAGCGUGAUUACUACAUCUGCAAUCAUCACAUGAUAAUUAUGAAACAGUUUCCUGCGAAUUUAAAGCGCAGAUCUUUUUCUCUGAGCCCGGUGAAUGGAGGGAGUUCAUUCUAUCAUCCCCAUCAGCCUUUCGGGCAGCACUGUUGGGUCGGUGUAUUGGCGUUGCUUCCAACAGAAUGCUGUAUUGGCUGAGCCAUGGAGGAGACUUUAUUGUUGGGCUGGAUCCUUUCAUGAUCGAUAACAAUGAUAAUACUAGUUCAUCUACUACAAGAAGUACUGUUUUUUUCAGUGAAGGUGACGAGGGGGAUUGUGUCCCAAUAGAGUGCCUAGAUACGCUUGACGGGUGUCCGCGGCUGUGCGAGUAAGACCCUCCCACUCGCACUCCCUCUAUUUGGGAGUUGAAUGAAGAAAAUGAAGGUGAUCAGACGGUCACGAUGCAUGGAGGAGAUGACAAUUUGUGUGCGAGACUUAAUAAGAGGGUAUAUUUGGCUGAUAAGGCAAACACACCCGUGUGAAGUGAAUGAUCACAUGCUCAUCUUUUCGAUCACAACUUCCCUUCGGAUCUGAAUCGGAUGGAGAUCGGUCGGAUGGAGAUCGAGUACAACGAGUAUUCGGGUGGGUUUAGGAAGAAAGAGGAAGUACUUAGUCAUUAAGGGUAUCUCAGUAGUUUCAUAUCAACUUUUGGUUAUAAUUAUUAUAAAAUUAAAAUUGUGGCUAUAAUUUUAUAUAGGGUCAAAAUUUUAGUUAUUUUUCUAAAUUUCCCCAAUAUAAUUGCAAAUUGAUUAGUUUAA